UACGUAGGGUGCGAGCGUUAAUCGGAAUUACUGGGCGUAAAGCGUGCGCAGGCGGUUCGCUGUGUCCUGUGUGAAAGCCCCGGGCUUAACCUGGGAAUGGCAUGGGAAGCUGGCGAGCUUGAGUGCGGCAGAGGGGGGUGGAAUUCCGCGUGUAGCAGUGAAAUGCGUAGAGAUGCGGAGGAACACCGAUGGCGAAGGCAGCCCCCUGGGUCGACACUGACGCUCAGGCACGAAAGCGUGGGGAGCAAACAGG
rnacentral:rRNA from 1 species